rnacentral:tRNA from 1 species
UAUAAUAUAGUGUUUUAGCAUUUUGUAUUUUGGUUACAAAGGAGACUAGUUUCUAUUAUAU